CUCCGACACGGUAACAACUGCAUCCUCCAUCGUAUACCAGUUCACAAUCAUGGUAAACUAUGUUGUCUUGCUGCGCUGCUGCAAUUGGUUAUUGUAUCGUCAUCAAGGGUGUAUCGAUGUCUCCUGGGUAUGGUGAAUAUCUAGAAAUAGCAGUGAAAGAAUACUAUACCACGCCGCCUCCUUACUAAACAACAACGUCAACACCUACUUACAAUUCGAAGGCCUCCAAGUACUACACCACCAAGGCUCCUGAGUAUUAAACUCCAAUCUACGUUGCUCCAGCUUAGGAAACAUGGUCUAGUUAACUAUGGGUCGUGCUGCUGUUGGGUGUUGUAUCGUUGAUGGCUGGGUCGACCACGUGUAACGAUGUCUUCUGGGUAUGUUGGUUACCUAACCGCAGCGCCGCCGCCUUACUACACAACGAAGUCAACAUACGCAACAUCUAUUACUACGCCGAGGCCCCCAAGAACUACACCACCGAGUUGUCUGCCCCAGCCUACUACACCGACGCUCUCAAGUACUACUCUGCUCCAAGCUACAACCAAACUGGGGCUCCUGUUUACUACACCAAGGCCACCGAGUAUUUCACUAGAACCAAAG